AAUGAACGCUGGCGGCGUGCCUAACACAUGCAAGUCGGAUGUGCCGCAAGGUGCAUGGCAGACGGGUGAGUAACGCGUGGAAAACCUACCUCUUUGUGGGGAAUAACGCUCCGAAAGGAGUGGUAAUACCGCAUGAGACCACGGACUGGGAUGUCCAUGGUGAAACCUGGGGACCGCAAGGCCUGGGGCAAGGAGAGGGUUCUGCGUCUGAUUAGCUAGUUGGUGGGGUAAUGGCCUACCAAGGCGACGAUCAGUAGCCGGCCUGAGAGGGUGAUCGGCCACAUUGGAACUGAGACACGGUCCAAACUCCUACGGGAGGCAGCAGUGGGGAAUUUUGCGCAAUGGGCGAAAGCCUGACGCAGCAACGCCGCGUGGGUGAUGAAGGUCUUCGGAUCGUAAAACCCUGUCGUCAGGGACGAAGGUUGCGGGUUGAAUAUUCCUGCAACUUGACGGUACCUGGAGAGGAAGCCCCGGCUAACUCUGUGCCAGCAGCCGCGGUAAUACAGAGGGGGCAAGCGUUAUUCGGAAUUAUUGGGCGUAAAGGGCGCGUAGGCGGUGUUUUAAGUGAGAUGUGCAAUCCCCGAGCUUAACUUGGGAACUGCAUCUCAGACUGGAACGCUAGAGUACUGGAGAGGGUGGUAGAAUUCCACGUGUAGCGGUGAAAUGCGUAGAGAUGUGGAGGAAUACCAGUGGCGAAGGCGGCCACCAGGACAGUAACUGACGCUGAGGCGCGAAAGUGUGGGUAGCAAACAGGAUUAGAUACCCUGGUAGUCCACGCUGUAAACGAUGAACACUUGGUGUGGCGGGAGUUGACCCCUGCCGUGCCGUAGCUAACGCGAUAAGUGUUCCGCCUGGGGAGUACGGUCGCAAGGCUG
rnacentral:rRNA from 1 species